rnacentral:lncRNA from 8 species
GAGUGGAAAACAGAGGGGAAGACAGGGAGGGAGGGGGAGACAGGUGGAGAGGUGGAGAGAGGGAGAGAGAGUGGGAAACAGAGGGGAAGAGAGAGAGAGGGAGAGAGAAAGAGAGAGAGAAGGAAAGAGGGGGAAAGAAAGAGGGUAGACAGGAAGGGGAUAGGGAGGGUGGGUUCACACAUUGAAGCCCCCUCAGCUGUCCAGUCCAGGACAGGGGAGGUAGAGAGUAAAGAUGGGCUCCUCUCAGCAGCUCAGAGGACACUACAGAGAGUAUUGAGAGGGGGAGCUACCAGCCACAGGUGCUGGUGCAGAGCACAUGGGUUGUGCCAGGGAUGUCUGGUUGGCGGUUGCUAACUAUGUCACUUUGUGCCUGCCCAGACGACUGCUUCCUCUGCCACCAUUCUGGCUCCACGCUGAGACAGUGACCAUCCAUUACGGGUCUGUGCCACAGUGUGCCAGUCGGCUCCAGCAGACAGACAGUAUCUUCUGUGACCUCAUCAUCAUGAGACAGUGUGUAGCCUCUCAGUCAGCUGCAGCUGUGGUCCUGCCAAGAGAAGGGAUAAUCCUAUCACACAGUCAUGCUGCUGAGAGAGGCAGAGCAGUCCUAGUACCAUGGCUACAGUACGAUACGCCAGCCAGGUGCAGUCGGCACCAGCAGAACCUCGCCUUGUGCCGUAGUCUUUCCACAGCCUGCUGUCUCCAAACAGAGCCACAAACAACAACUUGUAAACACACACAGACAGAGAUGCCAGAUGCCGGGCUGAGUGUGUGUGUCCUCAAUCGACGCAAGGCAUCAGAUCAUCAUCUCCUAAACCCAGUGAGCUCUGUAUUAUCUCAGUUAAAAUCCACACUGACUAUCAACACACAGAUGCUGCUGCUCGAUGGCUGUACUGUCCUGGCCCCAUUCCUCUCUCUCUCUCUCUCUCUCUCUCUCUCUCUCUCUCUCUCUCUCUGUCACUCUCUGUCACUCUCUCUCCCCAUCUCUCUCCCCAUCUCUCUCUGUCUGUCUGUCUGUCUGUCUGUCUGUCUGUCUGUCUGUCUGUCUGUCUGUCUGUCUGUCUGUCUGUCUGUCUGUCUGUCUGUCUGUCUGUCUGUCUGGGAAACCCUGUGCUUAUUGACUAAAACAAAAUCCAGGAAACAAAUGUCUAAAUAAGCAUUAAAUGGCUCAACUAUCCCUUAAAGAAUUAGCUAGCUGCCCCAGACAAGACAAGACGGGAUGGUAAUGAUAAACAACUUAACUUCUCAUCCCUGAUGCCGAGUCCCUAUGGGUUUAUCCACUGAGUCAGGUCAAAAUCAGGACAUGAUAGGCCUGUAUGUGUAUAUAUAUAUAUAUAUAUAUAUAUAUAUAUAUUACACAAUUAUUAUUAUAAUUGUUUUAUAAAUUGUUACCAAAAGGAGGCCUAUAAUAAAAAUAGAACAUGAAAAUGAGUUUAUUUUCAGUGUCCUACAUCUCCUCCCUGAGCCAUAAGCAUCAAUUACUUAUUAUAACAGCACAAUAAAGUGGCAAUCAGCAGUAGCAACUAUAACAAAGUGUAUUGUUUCUUCUCCCCGCCCCUGUUUUCCUAAAAAGCUGAUUGAGUGAGAAAUGUAAUCACUCAAACCAUUCACAUA